AAAACACCUCCUUUCGACACCUCUCGCUUUGUUCCGUUUGUCUCUUUCAAAUGAACCCGCAAAAUCCACCCACCCUUGCACAUGCUGUUCUGCUUCCUUUCUCUUUGCCUCUAUGAUUUUUCUCCCAACGCCUGUCCCUUUCCUAUUCUAAUUUCACAUUUUCUCCUCUUGUUUUAGCCUUUAUUAUCUUCAAUCUCAACUGGGUUUUCUUCUAUUUUGUGCUGAUUUCUAUUCCAAUUUCUAGGGUUUUCUGUUUUUCUCUUAACUUCUUUGCCAUUUAUAACCUUCAAUCCCCAACUGGGUCUUUCCUUCUCUUGUAUUAGGAUUAGUUUAAUUUCACUUGUUUCUAUUGCUGGGUACUCUUAGAUCUCAAAUUUCCUUUCUUGGUAUUAACAUUUUCUCUAUAUUCACUGUUCUGCUUCAUAUAGUUCUUAAUUGUCAAUCAAUGUCACAAGGCUAUGCAAUUGAGCUUUAUUUCGAUCCGGCCCUUGAAAACCAGGUCUUGAAGGCCUGGAACGUGCUAGCUCGACGCCAAAUCAGCACCCAACUCAUCGAAAUCGAGUCUCGCCCUCACAUAACCCUCUAUUCUAGCUCGUUUGUUGAGCCUACUAAACUGGAAUCGAUAGUCAAGACCUUUGCCUCAAAGCAGGAACCAUUAUCCUUAUCUCUCUCUGCAAUUGGGGGUCUCCCAAAUGACAACAAUGUCCUCUUUUUAGCCCCUACGCCUUCACUUUCACUUCUUCAAUUUCAUUCUCAGUUGUACGAUGCAUUGAAGAAGGAGGGAAUUGAGAUCAGUGAAGAGUACCGCCCUGACUCCUGGAUUCCUUAUUGUGCAGUGGCUCAAGAUGUGCCAAAGGCAAGGAUAGGAGAGGCAUUUUGUGUUUUGAGAGACUUGAAGUUGCCGGUUACAGGGUAUGCAAUGGAUAUUGGGUUGGUAGAGUUCUCACCAGUUCGUGAAUUAUUCUCAUUUGUCCUUGGCAAUUCAGUAGAAUGAUGAGGUCUUUUAUGGUCUUGUUAUAAUGUGUUUAGAUUUAUAAUUUGAAUGUGUUACAUUUUAAAUGUUUUGGUUCAAUUUUAGGUUUAUAUGAAUGGUGCUAGUUUAGAGCAUGGUAGGGAAUUUGCAUUUGUGUUUAUGGGCAUAAGUUGAUAAUGAUAAAUCUAUUUAUUCAUGUUUAUAUUGUUUUCAAUUUUGUGUACGAUGCAAUUUUUUUUUCAAAUGUUGUGAUUCUUUUUGUUUGGCUUGUUAUAUUUCUUUUAUGUACCUUUGGUUCUGUAUGCUGAGUGCACAGAUCAUUUAAGCAGUCUUCGCAUUACUUAUCUGGGAUCUAAUAUUUUUUUUCUUUCCUCCUUUUCCUUUCUUUCUUUUUCUUCCAUUGUGGAACAAGUUCAGGAAUCCAAGUUGAUCGCUUAGUAGCGGCAUAGUAAUUUUUUGGUACCUAACGGCCCAAUGCUUCAGUGUUGCAUGUGUUAAUCAGUUGCAUCAGAGAUUUAUCAUGCAGCCUUUGAUUCCCAUUAUUCAUUGUCAAAAUGAUCUGUUGGUUUGCACCAGCUGUUGGAUCACUUCCUACUUACUCAAAUGCAUAUAGUAUGUGGCAUUCAUAGCAUUCCGACUAUAGCCCAUACACCAUGUGUGCUUUGGGUUUUUAGAUUCUGUUUCAUAAGCCUGCUUUCGGGGUGUUUAUGAGAAUUACAUACCUUGCCUGCUGCUGGUAGUCUUGCAUUGCUAACCACAUUAUAAUGUUGGCUGAAAAAUCUUCUCAAAGUUUUCUUCUUGUGUGAUAAAGGAGAAACCAUAGUCAGUCAUAAUCCUUUCUCAUUUAUUCUGGUUUAUCAUUCAUUUUUGACUGCAUUGCUUUAGGUAAAUUUUGAGUUAUCAAUCUUUUCAUUCUUGUGUAAGCAGCCUAUGCAUCUGUUUUAUUUGAGAAGAAUUUGCAGUCUGAAAUAUAUCUUUCAAACCUGAUUAUAUCUCCUUGCAUAAGCUACAUUUUCUGUGUAAUUCUAGUUGUUCCUAGAAUUAUACUAUUUCAUCUCAGUGGGAUUUUU
rnacentral:misc_RNA from 1 species